CUAUUUCCUCAUCUCCUAAAAAGGCGUUGCGAAUUAUCUCAUAUAAUCUUCAUUAUCUCAUUCUUUCUCUCUCUAGAAAAACACAAUUUUCGUUUUUCUCUUCCACCUGAGCUCUAAAGCCUGCAAUAAUGACGUCUCAGAACGAGAAGGGUCGGGCAUUGCCUAAAUUCGGAGAAUGGGAUGUGAAUAAUCCGGCCUCGGCGGAUGGAUUUACGGUCAUAUUUGCAAAGGCUCGGGACGAGAAGGCCAAAAGCUCGGCAGGGGGAUCUGACCAGCCGGCCCGUACUCAAAGCACGGCCCGCCAUGACGCACCCCGCAAGACGGGUUGGCUUUGUUGUUUCUGAGGCGUCUAUUGCGUUUUGGAGAACUGGAAAUUAUUAAAAGUGGAAAUGUGCAAUUGACAAGAAAUAGACACACAUAUAUAUAGUGGUCAAAUUCUAUUUGAGACUAUUGUCAAUUUUUUACUUUGUUUUUGUAUAUGGAUAUAUGUGUAACCAAUAAAUCGAUUGAU